GGGCUGCAGUAGGGAAUAUUGGUAAUCUGCGAAAGCGGGAACCAGCAACGCCGCGUGCGCGAUGAAGGCCUUCGGGUUGUAAAGCGCUUUUCGGGAGGAAGAGGAAGGACUGUACUCCCGGAAUAAGUCUCGGCUAACUACGUGCCAGCAGCCGCGGUAACACGUAGGAGGCAAACGUUAUCCGGAUUUACUGGGCGUAAAGCGCGUGCAGGCUGUUCGGUAAGUUGGGCGUGAAAGCUCCCGGCUCAACUGGGAGAGGUCGUUCAAUACUGUCGGACUAGAGGAUGGUAGAGGAAGGUGGAAUUCCGGGUGUAGUGGUGAAAUGCGCAGAUAUCCGGAGGAACACCAGUGGCGAAAGCGGCCUUCUGGACCAUUCCUGACGCUCAGACGCGAAAGCUAGGGUAGCAAACGGGAUUAGAUACCCCGGUAGUC
rnacentral:rRNA from 1 species